UUUUAUGGAUGAGCAAAGAAAGUGGUUUCUUGAGAUGGAAACUACUCCUGGUGGAGACACUGUGAA
rnacentral:pre_miRNA from 1 species